UGUGAGUAUAUACAAACAUAUACACACAUACACACGACCUCACCUUUUCUUUGCAUCACACUCCCUUUUUGAGUAUGUACAGGUGUUUGACGUAAAACUGAACUUCAACUUCAAGGUUUUUAAGAUUUGAAAAAUUAACUGGGAAAUAACAAAAGAAAUCCACACACAAAUCCUGUUCCACCCCAAAAAAUAAUAGCUUAAACGUGUGAGCUUAUGUUACAAAAGUUUGUCCAGCAAAAGUAAGUCUAGAAAAGACAGAUAAGAUGUCAUUAAAAAAUGACAUCGUAUCUAAGACAAACCAAAAAUUGCUAAAGGUUAGCUAAACUUAGAUGAAUAUUUCCAAAAGAUUCCUG